GGAAUCUUCGGCAAUGGGCGAAAGCCUGACCGAGCAACGCCGCGUGAAUGAAGAAGGCCUUCGGGUUGUAAAAUUCUGUUAUAAGGGAAGAAAGGUGAUAGGAGGAAAUGACUAUCAAUUGACGGUACCUUAUGAGAAAGCCACGGCUAACUACGUGCCAGCAGCCGCGGUAAUACGUAGGAGGCAAGCGUUAUCCGGAAUGACUGGGCGUAAAGGGUGCGUAGGUGGUUUGACAAGUUGGUAGCGCAACUCCGGGGCUCAACCUCGGCACUACUACCAAAACUGUUGAACUUGAGUGCAGGAGGGGCAAAUGGAAUUCCUAGUGUAGCGGUGGAAUGCGUAGAUAUUAGGAGGAACACCAGUGGCGAAGGCGAUUUGCUGGACUGUAACUGACACUGAGGCACGAAAGCGUGGGGAGCAAACAG
rnacentral:rRNA from 1 species